CGAGGAAGCGGCAAAAGGAGAGGAGGGUGAACUGCUCCAACCUGAGGAUGAUUUGCUGUGAUAUUACUGCUACUGCUAUAGAUCUCUGUGUUGCUUGAAGCAACUUCAGGAGAAAGGAAGUAGAAAUCUACUGCUAAACUAGACGCCCGAACAACCUGGAUGAGAUAAAGUGCCUUUUAUUCAGAGAUAAGUGUGUGUUUAUUUUACUUUCCCUACUAGAUUACAGCUCGCCUGAGGAUGGAAGUACUGUGGUUUGUUUCGUUUCCAUCUGCCUUUUCCAGAAUCACAGCUCUGGACAUGGCUGGUCAGUAGAUGAAUCAAUGACUGUCUGAGGUUGCUGUACCGACCAUUCGGCGGAGCACGUGUUUAAUGGAGCUCUGCCUACGGUGAGGGUCUGGGGGCGAGCUUUACACUCUGCUGUCACCUGUCGCUGUGCUCGCCUUGGCAAGAGGAUUGGCUGGAGUUAGAGUCAGAUUCGAGCGCUUUGAGAUGACUAAAUAGGUUCAGCUCCAGCAGAGCUAGCUUUUUGCUAGUUAAUUUUUACUGGUAUAAAAGAAUCCUUCUCUUCAUCAGCCUCACUGCUAGCAAACCAGCAGCAGAUGACCUGGAGCACAACACAAGGAAAUUAAGUAGGAGGCAGAGGUGGGGAGGAAGGAGUCUAGGCUUUAGAGUCAUUUUUCUCAAAGCCUUCCCGAGAAGGCAUCUGCGGGGCAGUAUUUUUAUUUUUAUUUUAUUUUUUUGUCUUUUGCUUUUUAGGGUCACAUCCUCAGUUCCCAGGCUAGGGGUCCAAUCAGAGCUGUAGCUGCCAGCCUAUACCACAGUCACUGCAACUCAGGAUCCGAGCUGUGUCUGCGACCUACACCACAGCUCUCUAACCCACUGAGAGAGGCCAGGGAUUGAAUCUGAGUCCUUGUGGAUACUGGUCGGGUUCGUUAACCACUGAGCUGCGACGGGAACUCCUGUGGGGCAGUAUUUUUUAAAAAUACAGCUUCCUGGGCCCCACGUGGGACCCACAGAAUUCCACUCUCCUUCCUCUUGAUUUUUUUGACUUAGGUUUUUUUUCGUUCACAUUAAAAUUUGAGAACCACCACUCUAAAG
rnacentral:lncRNA from 1 species